GGGCAUAGCUCAGUGGUAGAGUGCAUGCCUAGCAUGCACAAGGUCCUGGGUUCAGUUCCCAGUACCUCCA
rnacentral:tRNA from 1 species